CGCACCUUCGGGUGAGCGGCGGACGGGUUAGUAACGCGUGGGAACAUACCCUUUUCUACGGAAUAGCCUCGGGAAACUGAGAGUAAUACCGUAUAAGCCCUUCGGGGGAAAGAUUUAUCGGGAAAGGAUUGGCCCGCGUUAGAUUAGAUAGUUGGUGGGGUAAUGGCCUACCAAGUCUACGAUCUAUAGCUGGUUUUAGAGGAUGAUCAGCAACACUGGGACUGAGACACGGCCCAGACUCCUACGGGAGGCAGCAGUGGGGAAUCUUAGACAAUGGGCGCAAGCCUGAUCUAGCCAUGCCGCGUGUGUGAUGAAGGUCUUAGGAUCGUAAAGCACUUUCGCCAGGGAUGAUAAUGACAGUACCUGGUAAAGAAACCCCGGCUAACUCCGUGCCAGCAGCCGCGGUAAUACGGAGGGGGUUAGCGUUGUUCGGAAUUACU
rnacentral:rRNA from 1 species